ACUUUCCGGAGGGCAGGAGGCAGGAACGCUUCUGACGAGAGGGGCCGCAGGACCCAAGCGAGGGAGCGGGAUAGAGGAAACCUCCCAGCGUUGGCCCCGCCCCUGGCGCCUCUGCUUCCCAGCCGCUUACCUGGUUCCUCUGGGUGCGCAGGGAUGGUUCUGGUCUUUGCGAGAGUCGCAGCUGGUGACGGCGCUCCCCUCACCUCUGCUCAUGUGGUGCUGUGGGGCUGCGGGUGACCGCCAGCGAGGCAGAGCCCUCACUCAAACCUUGCCUGCUGGUGUCCUCAGGAUGUGGGAAACCUGUGCGCUGGCCAAGUGUUACCCAGGAGUAGGCAGUGAAAGAUAAAUGAAGGUUGAACAGGUAAAGUGAGGACCGUACGGUGGAAAGCGAGAAUCCUGUGUGCCCUGAAGGGGACUCCGACCAGCCCGAGCAAUGUGGAUCCUGAGAGCGCUCCCAAGUAGGCAUUUGCCCCGGUGGGACACCUCGCCAGAGCAGUGUGUGGCAGGCCCCCAUGGAGAAUCAAUGCGGGAGCUGAACACCGGGAAGGAACAGGCACUUGGAGGCUGGACAUCUAAAACUUGCCAGGUGUGGUGGCGCAUGCCUGUAGUUCCAGCUAUUCAAUAGGCUGGUGCAGAAAGAUCAUUUGAGACAAGGAGAUUGAGGCUGCAGUGAGCUGUGAUCACACCACUGUACUCCAGGCUGGGUGACAGAGAAAUACUUCAUUUUGAAAAAAAAGAAAAAAGAAAAAACUGAAUUUGCAAGAAACUCCUUGGAUGGUGUUAAUGGCAGCUGUAUUUUUUGGGAGCUCUGCUCUAAUUUGAUAAAAAUUCUUAGAUGGGACCCUCUGUAACAAAUGACAGAUUAAAAUGAGAAAAAUGUAGAAAAGUUGAAAAAGAUGUAUACCUUAUGGAUACAUGGGAGACACCCAGGGAAAAAUGAGUAAAUCUCCAACAGUUGGCUUUCAAUUCAAGUGUAAAUACUAUCUUCAACUUAAAGAAAGAAGAUUUGAGGUGCAGUAAUGGGAAGGUAACCAGCAAAAGGACAGUAGGUAAGGUUUGAUAUACAGACUUAAGUGCGUGCAUUCUCCGUUGAUAAGACUCUUUAGUGAUUUAGUUAUCCUUCUCUUCUUGGUGGAGAGAGAGAGAGGUAGCUUUUAAAUGGGGAUUUCCUUUAUAGAUGUAAAUUUUCCUUACACAAGGGUAACUUCUACUCUGUUUUCAGAACUUCCUUUGUAGCAUUUUUUCAAAAUAAUCAUCUUGGAAUAAUUCUUAAGCCAAAGGAACAUAUUUUGGGUUGGCAUAUUCUGGAUUCCUACCAUUAUAUUUUGAGGUGGAUUAUUAUGGUCUUCUACACUGUGUUCCACCAGCAAUGAAGAGUUCUUGUCUUUCCUCCAGCAAUUUGUCAUUUUUUUUAGAGUUUAGCAAUUCUAACAGAUAUAUACCAGCUUUGCUAUCUCAUUGUGGUUUUCAGUUCUGUACUAUGUUGAGCAUCUUUUUGUAUGUUUACUUGCCAUCUGUAGAUCUUCUUUGGUGAGGUGUCUGUUCAGAUCUGUGUGCAUUUUUGAUUGGGCUGUUUAACUUAUUGUUUAGUUUUAAGGUUUUUGUUUUGCAUAUUUUGAAUACAAAUUCUCAGAUUUGUAUUUUGCAAAUAUUGUCUUUCAAUAUGUGGCUUGUCUUUUUAUUCUCUUAAUAAGGUCUUUUCCAGAGUGUAAACUUUUAAUAUUAAAAAAUCUACAUUAUUAUUUCUUCUGUGUGUAUCGACUUUUUGUGUCAUUUGUUAAAAUUCAU